rnacentral:rRNA from 1 species
GAGUUUGAUCAUGGCUCAGGAUGAACGCUAGCGGCAGGCCUAAUACAUGCAAGUCGAGGGGCAGCGCGGGUAGCAAUACCUGGCGGCGACCGGCGCACGGGUGCGUAACACGUAUACAAUCUGCCUUUAACAGGGGGAUAGCCCGGAGAAAAUCCGGAUUAAUACCCCAUAAUAUAUUGAGUGGCAUCACUUGAUAUUGAAAGCUCCGGCGGUUAGAGAUGAGUAUGCGCCUGAUUAGUUAGUUGGUGAGGUAACGGCUCACCAAGACUUCGAUCAGUAGGGGAUCUGAGAGGACUACCCCCCACACGGAUACUGAGACACGGAUCCGACUCCUACGGGAGGCAGGCAGUAAGGAAUAUUGGACAAUGCCCGCAAGGGUGAUCCAGCCAUGCCGCGUGCAGGAAGACGGCCCUAUGGGUUGUAAACU